rnacentral:tRNA from 1 species
GGGCACUUAGCUCAGCUGGUUAGAGCGACACGUUUACACCGUGUAGGUCGGGGGUUCGAAUCCCUCAGUGCCCA